GAUGAACGCUGGCGGCGUGCUUAACACAUGCAAGUCGAACGGAAAGGCUCCUGCUUGCAGGUGUUCUCGAGUGGCGAACGGGUGAGUAACACGUGGGUGAUCUGCCCUGCACUUCGGGAUAAGACUGGGAAACUGGGUCUAAUACCGGAUAGGACCACAUUUUGGAUGGUGUGGUGGAAAGUUUUGCGGUGUGGGCUGAGCUAGCGGCCUAUCAGCGUGUUGGUGGGGUAAUGGCCUACGAAGGCGUCGACGGGUAGCCGGCCUGAGAGCGGGUACGGGCACAUUAGUCCUGCGAUAGGCACCAGACGCGAACGGGGGACAGCAGGCGCGAGUCUUGUACAGUCAUCGCGAGUGUGAUGAAGAGACGCUGCGUGUGUGAUGACCGCCUUCGGGGUGUAAACACCUGUAGCUAGGGACGAAGCGCAAGUGACGGUACCUGGAGAAGAAGCACCGGCUAACUACGUG
rnacentral:rRNA from 1 species